CUGUGUGUUCCAGGCCCACUGCACUCUCGGUCUAAUUUCUCUUUCUUCUUCUCCCUGCCCAUUGAAAAGGGGAAAGGUUUUUGUGGUUUUCUGGAGAAAUAAAGAACUUCUUAAAGAGGUCGGCAGACGUGACUUUGAACUUGGAUCAGAUCCUGUGUUUCCUGUGGAGAGGGUAGAAAUAGUCUUGGAAGAAUGGUACAUAACGUUCAAACAGUAUGGCUGUGAGCUGAGGAACACAGAAUUCCCAAAGUUUUAUAAGUCGUCCGCUCUAUUAUUUACAGCUUUAAGCGUAGAAAAGAGAGGAAAGCCGGAGUGCGUUGAACGGGACUCUGGGGGACUUAGAGUCAAUGAAAUUGCAGCAGAAGGUGUCACCUUCAUCGGACCCGACACACAUGCUACUCAAACCAUGGGAGACAAGAUCAGGGGCAAAUUAAUCGCCAAGAUGCCAAGGUCAGUGUCGUGCCCCCGUGAGCGUGGGCUGGUCAAGGUGAGGAGAGCUUCACACGCACCACAAACACACAUCCAUUCUUUCUGCCACCUCAAAUGACUCAUCUGACGUCUGACAAACCGUCACGGGGCAUCGGGACUGAUGUGUGUGUUUAUAAAGACGAGGUGUUGUCAGUUGGCUGUCAGCUCAGGGAAUGUUUUUUUGAUAUGUUGCCACUUUUGAAAAUUUGUACCUCCCAUGGAAUGAAAUACAGGAAGUUGCUGUUUUGCAGACAUAAGUGUGUGUGUGUGUGUGUGUGGUGGAAAGGGCUGUUGCUAAUGAGGGAUGUUUUGAAAACAUUUAAAGCCCUAAUGAUGCUGCUGCAAAUGCAAACCCUCUUCCGGGAGCUGUGAUUUAAGAUGGUUUGAGGCUGUGGAAAAAUAGUUUCACCCAAUUUAAGUCUUGCGUUCCUGUUGUUAAAAUAUUGGGGUUAGAGGCUAACACGUAGAUGAGGAGGUGAACAACCCUGUGGUGUGUGUACUAAAACUCUUUCAAUAACAGCUCUGCAAAUUCUCAAAUCUCCAUUUUGUCCCUAAAGUACUUAAUUGUCUGCAUUUGGCAAGUUUAACACUUCCUGACAUGAGGGGCCUUACUUGAAUGUCUUUGCAUGACUAUAAAUGAAUGGGAAUAAAAGGAAUGAACAAACACACACACACAUAAGCAUGCAUGCAAAUCUAUUCGAAAUCCAUAGUGACCAAAUUAAGCAUGCCAAGAGAAAAUUUCCCACCGAGAAAUUUUGAGAUUUUAGCUGUGUCUAGUUCUGUCCGCCAGCCAAUUUUCCAUCAGGAAUCUCUCAUUAGCAGAUGUUUUUGGCCACAACACACACACACCUCAGUGUGAUCUGGUGAACCCUAAAUUUAACAAGCGCUUACCAGAGCAGACGAGUUAAUGAAAGGAAAUUACCUUUUCUGCCAAUUUCCCCCUUCCAUUCAGGUGCUUUUUACUUGGCAAUUUAAAAUGACAGAUACUUGUUUUUUAUACUAAAUAAACUGAUAAAUCUUUCCAGCGUUUCAUUAUAUCCGGUAAGUGCAUGAGUCAGAUAUUAACUGCUCUCCAUUGAUGGCGUGCUCCUUGCAGACCCUAAAGCGUCUGUUUAAUUCCCUGAAAGUGAGAUGCAAUUUUUAUUUCACUCUCACAUCAUUUGUCCUCAAAAUUACUUUUCACAAUCCUAGCCUCCGUUAUCAACUAAAACUGCAAUCUGUUUGCUUAGUCUCUUUAGAAGACGGCGAUACGGGAUGAAGUUUAUUUACACCGCUGUCAUCUGUUCCCUGCAUAGCAACCAAAGACAAUGAUUUCCACAUAAGGGCAGUGGGGAGACAGUGUGGAGAGGAGGAUCGGGUAGACGGCCCCUCCAGAGCCUGCUGAAGUGAAGCCGCGGUUGGGUAUGUUGGCCAGUCUCGCCCGGCCGCCCCGCAGCAGUAAAGCAGUCUGGAUCAUACGUCACGAGCUGAGGUCUGUUAUGGAGGCCAGUGGCGAGACGGAAAAGCCAUUCGGGAGAGCCAAUCCUACAGAUACAGCUGCUGCUUUUCCUGCAAAUACACGUUUACAAAUUAGCACUUCUCACAGGCCUGGGACCUGCUUUUACGGAGCUGGGUUUUCAGAGCAGCCUGAAAGUGUGAACGAGUUCCAGAGGGCAGAUCAUUUGGAGGAGUCUGGAUAAUGAGAUUCUUUUCUUAAUGCCAUUGAACUCCAUUCAAUUAGUGCAAAGGGCCUAUGUUUGUGACUAUUGCGUGCGUACAGUGUGCUUCUGUGUGUAAUUGACUUUGUAAGCCCUUGAGGAGUAAACUUUUAGUGGUUUCGAGCAUUCGCUUGAGCACAAGUAUGUUUGUCUAUUCUUUUUUUUUCCUUCAUCUGUUAUUCCCCCUUUUAGCCUUAGUGGGCUGCUUGGGCCGAUCUUGUGUGUGCUUGUGUGAUGUAUAGAUUAAUUAAAUAAGCAUAUUGAUUCGUGUUCUGGCAACACAGAGCGUGGGGUUUUAAUUAGCCCACGCUUGAGUGUGUUAACAUUCCUGUCUUAUCUGUGUGGAACCAAGUGGAACUGAAUGCAUGAGGGCUGCUCAUCAACUCUGAAUUUCCAAUAACCUUUUUUUUCUUCUUGUUUGGUUAAGUUCGACCCAAAGCUCAAACGUUAAUGUAAGUGUAUGCAACACUUCAAUUUUUAAUGCUCAUUUUUAAGUGCAAAUAUUUUUGUCUAUUUAUACUAUUUUUCUUGAAUACUGUAUUGAAGGAAUGAUAUGUAAAUAGCUUUGCCUCAUAUACACUCACCAGCCACUUUAUUAGAUACACUAGUACAGGGUUGGACCCCCUUUUGUCUU